rnacentral:rRNA from 1 species
GACGAACGCUGGCGGCGCGCUUAACACAUGCAAGUCGAACGGAAAGGCCCUGCUUUUGUGGGGUGCUCGAGUGGCGAACGGGUGAGUAACACGUGAGUAACCUGCCCUUGACUUUGGGAUAACUUCAGGAAACUGGGGCUAAUACCGGAUAGCAGCUCCUGCUGCAUGGUGGGGGUUGGAAAGUUUCGGCGGUUGGGGAUGGGCUCGCGGCUUCUCAGCUUGUUGGUGGGGUAGUGGCCUACCAAGGCUUUGACGAGUAGCCGGCCUGAGGGGGUGACCGGCCACAUUUGGACCGGGGUACGGCCAAAACUCCUACCGGAGCCAGCAGUAGGGAGUAUUGCACAAGGGGCGGCAACCAGAUGCAGCAACUCAGCGUGCGGGGUGAGUGCCUCCGGGUUGUAGACCGCGUGCGCAUGUGACGAGGCGUGAGUGACGGUAAUGUGUAAAGAAGGACCGGCUAAAUACGAG